AUGAAGGUUGUGUUUAUCAUAAUAAUUAUAUACCACAGACUUGUUUCUCUCUGUUUAUAUAAUAAUGUAGUUCGUCUUCUACCAUAUGUUUUCUUCAUUACAUGCCUUCUAAUUGUUCAUCUUUUUUUCUCUUUCGACGACAAAAUAACUUCGCAUUUCGAAAUAUUUAGUAUGCAAUCAUGGACUUCCUUAAGGGUGUUCAGGCCUUUUUUUUCCUUCUAUAAAUUAGUGGUCUUCUAUUCAUGUUGUGAACCCCAAUAUGGCAUCUCGCCAUUCCCCAUGAUCCACAUGUUAAGUAUGGAUUUAUUUAAUGAUAAUAUGAUAUCAACUGCCUUUUCUUCAGGAUAA
rnacentral:rRNA from 1 species